UGUUAUUAGGAGCCGUUCUCGGACGCCAGAAGUUGAAGCAGAGCCCGUGGCUGUCGAAGCUAGUCCACGCAGUCUAAGAAGUCGAUUAAAAACUCCAGAGAAAGCAAUGUCACCGAAAAUGCCACAAUCCGCUCGAAGAAAACCACUAUCACGACGAGUAUUAGAAGCUAUUGCAUUCGCUAAAGCGAAACAGGCUGAACAAACGGGUGAAACGGCCGACAUUUCUUGCACACCAGUUAAAACUAAUCAAGCACCAAGCCUCUUGGAUGUUUCCUUAUCUCCUAUAGUCAAUAAAUCUGUCCUACAAAGUUCUGAAGAUAGUAUCCUGUCAGAGACAAUUGGAGACAAUUCGGACAAGACCCAAGGCGGCUUGAAAACAUUGCCAGCAUUUACAACAAUACACGAAACUUUUGUAGAGAAAUCUGUGCUACGAAGCUACCGUAGCAGCGUAGCGGAUCCGUCGCUGACUGAAGAA